rnacentral:lncRNA from 1 species
AUAGUCAUGGACUCUCCCAGGUGCACCCCCUGUGGAUGUGCUCCAGGCCCUGAGGUUCCCCUCCCUCCCUGAUGGUGUCCGGAGAGCGAAAGGCAUCUGUCCAGCGUAAUGGGAUGGGGCCUAGGAUCAGACACCAGGAGGAAAGGGGUUGUGGCGGCUCCCUUUGCCUCUCACUCUGUGUGUAUCUCUCUCGGAUACUAGGAGGAUUUCCCAAAGAUUUCUCUCUGCUGACUGUUGUCCGGACCCGCCCUGGUCUCCAAGCUCCCCUCCUGACUCUCUACAGUGCCCAGGGUGUCCGACAGCUGGGCCUGGAGCUGGGCCGACCUGUCCGCUUCCUGUAUGAAGACCAGACUGGGCGGCCUCAACCUCCCUCUCAGCCAGUCUUCCGAGGCCUCAGCCUAGCAGAUGGCAAGUAAGUUUGUUUGCUCCUCUGGUCUGCCUGGCCCACACUUUCAGGAGGAAGUGCCCCCGAACCCCUACACUCUAAACUGUGAAACCCUUCAGACCCUUUGAGCCACACCACACCUACCCACUGCCCAAACUUCAGUCACUUCUAGUCCAGAGUUUGGGCUUUAGAGUGUACAGCCUUCUCUGCAUGUUGAACUAGCCUGUACCUUGGGCAAGUUACUUAAAAUUUUUGAGCCUCAGUUUCUACAUCUGUAAAAUGGACAUUAAAUAGAAUUGGCACAAAUAAGAAAGUGACGGCAUGGUGUCUGGUGCACUGUAAACACUCAAUAAAUGGUAGCCAUUUUUAUUACUGCUCUUAUCACCAUUGG